GGGGCCAUAGCUCAGCUGGGAGAGCGCCUGCCUUGCACGCAGGAGGUCGGCGGUCCGAUCCCGCCUGGCUCCACCA
rnacentral:tRNA from 1 species